GCCUGGGUGGCUCAGUCAGCUAAGCGUCUGACUUUGGCUCAGGUUAUGAUCUCACGGUUUGUGGGUUCGAGCCCCACACCCGGCU
rfam:Felis catus isolate Cinnamon breed Abyssinian chromosome B4, whole genome shotgun sequence.